rnacentral:rRNA from 1 species
CGCAUCUGUGCAUGCAGCAUAUCAAUAAGCGGAGGAAAAGAAACUAACAAGGAUUCCCCUAGUAACGGCGAGUGAAGCGGGAAGAGCUCAAAUUUGAAAUCUUAAAGGGUUUCCCUUUACGAAUUGUAGUUUAAAGAAGUGUUUUCUGUUGAGGUUUUGGUAAAAGUUCUUUGGGAUAGGACAUCAUAGAGGGUGAGAAUCCCGUAUUUGACCUUUACUUUCAACUUUGUGAUACACUUUCAAAGAGUCGGAUUGUUUGGGAAUGCAGUCCAAAAUGGGUGGUAAAUUUCAUCUAAAGCUAAAUAUUGGCGAGAGACCGACAGCGAACAAGUACCGUGAGGGAAAGAUGAAAAGAACUUCGAAAAGAGAGUUAAACAGUACGUGAAAUUGUCAAAAGGGAAGCGUUUGACACCAGUGUUGUUUUUCUGAAAAUCAAUUAAAGAACUGUUUAUGCUAAGCUGUUUAGACUUUAUCAGCUAACUGUAUAGUUUUGAGCUUUUCUUUAAUGCACUUUUCAGUUAACAAGUCAACAUCAAUUUCUUUUGCUGUAAAAAAGCUUGAGGAAGGUGGCUUGAGAUUCGUCUUAAGUGUUUAUAGCCUCUUGCCUAUGCAGUCGGAGAGAUUGAGGUCUGCAGCGUAGAUCCUUCGGGGCUAAAUGCAUUUGUGCUAAGUUAUAGCAUUUUAUAGACAACUUGUUGACUAUGAUUUGUCUUGUAGCUUACUCGCUUAUGUUAUUUUACCUACGCUUAGGAUGUUGAGUCAUCACACAUCUCU